UACAGAGGGUGCAAGCGUUAAUCGGAAUUAUUGGGCGUAAAGGGCGCGUAGGUUGUUAGGUCAGUUCAAUGUGAAAUCCUCUGGGCUCAACCCAGGAACUGCAUUGAAUACUGCCUGACUAGAGUAGAGUAGAGGGAAGUGGAAUUUCCGGUGUAGCGGUGAAAUGCGUAGAUAUCGGAAAGAACACCAGUGGCGAAGGCGGCUUCCUGGACUCAUACUGACACUGAGGCGCGAAAGCAUAGGGAGCAAACAGG
rnacentral:rRNA from 1 species